rnacentral:tRNA from 1 species
GGCGGGGUAGCUCAGUCGGUUAGAGCAGGGUCUUCAUAAGGCCAAGGUCGGCGGUUCAAGUCCGCCCCCCGCUA